rnacentral:rRNA from 1 species
UACGAAGGGGGCUAGCGUUGCUCGGAAUCACUGGGCGUAAAGGGCGCGUAGGCGGUCUUGCAAGGCCUGUGUGAAAUCCCUCGGCUCAACUGAGGAACUGCACAGGAAACUGCUUGGCUUGAGUUCGGGAGAGGGAAGCGGAAUUCCGGGUGUAGCGGUGAAAUGCGUAGAUAUCCGGAGGAACACCGGUGGCGAAGGCGGCUUCCUGGACCGACACUGACGCUGAGGCGCGAAAGUGUGGGGAUCAAACCGG